UACGGUGGGGGUAAGCGUUGUUCGGAAUUACUGGGCGUAAAGGGCUCGUAGGCGGCCAACUAAGUCAGACGUGAAAUCCCUCAGCUUAACUGGGGAACUGCGUCUGAUACUGGAUGGCUUGGAUUCGGGAGAGGAAUGCGGAAUUCCAGGUGUAGCGGUGAAAUGCGUAGAUAUCUGGAGGAACACCGGUGGCGAAGGCGGCAUUCUGGACCGACAUUGACGCUGAGGAGCGAAAGCCAGGGGAGCAAACGGG
rnacentral:rRNA from 1 species